rnacentral:rRNA from 1 species
GUGGGGAAUCUUGCGCAAUGGGCGAAAGCCUGACGCAGCCAUGCCGCGUGAAUGAUGAAGGUCUUAGGAUUGUAAAAUUCUUUCACCGGGGACGAUAAUGACGGUACCCGGAGAAGAAGCCCCGGCUAACUUCGUGCCAGCAGCCGCGGUAAUACGAAGGGGGCUAGCGUUGCUCGGAAUUACUGGGCGUAAAGGGCGCGUAGGCGGACAGUUUAGUAAGAGGUGAAAGCCCAGGGCUCAACCUUGGAAUUGCCUUUGAUACUGGCUGUCUUGAGUACGGGAGAGGUGAGUGGAACUCCGAGUGUAGAGGUGAAAUUCGUAGAUAUUCGGAAGAACACCAGUGGCGAAGGCGACUCACUGGCCCGUUACUGACGCUGAGGCGCGAAAGCGUGGGGAGCAAACAGGAUUAGAAACCCUGGUAGUCC